rnacentral:tRNA from 1 species
GUCUUUAGAAAUCGUGACGGUUCAAGUCCCUCUAUCCCCAAAC